UUUUCUUCCAGGUUCCUUCCCGGCUUCCAUACAGUCCGUGACGUCUCCCCACGCUGUCCUGUGAUUGGCUGAUUUCAAUAGUCCCGGGCUACUUGUAUUGAGAGAGCAGCGCCAGCUGUAGUAGAAGAGAUUGCGAUAGAGGCGCAUUGAGAAGCGGCGGGAGUGGGAGGCUUUAGAUCAAUAUACCGGCAUACAAGAGGGAAGGGGUCUAAGGCCGAGCUGCAGACGCAGAUGGUCAGACAUAGUGCGGAUACCGAUCAGGAGGGAAGAAGAAGAAAACGGAAGGACUGGCGCCCAUAGGAGAGUGCACAGUUGCACGUCUCCUGCCCUCCCUAGGGGGUGUAAGUAAAAGAAGAUGGGUUCCUGUCUGCCUGCUGCAGCUCAGCUUUAGAUCCCUUCCCACUUUUAUGCCGGUAUAUUAAUCUAAAGCCUCCCACUCCUGCCGCUUCUCAAUGCUACUGCUGCUUUCUGAAGUAGCCCACUACUAUUGAAAUCAUCCAAUCACAGGACAUUGCUGUGAGGACUGUAUGGAAGCCGGGAAGGAACCUGGAAGAAAACACGAUAUAAUUGAGACAGUGACAUCUUUAUAAGGACGGCUACGUUUUCAAACCUUGAAUUUUUUUUUUUUAAAUUAAAACUUGGGAUUUAAACUCAUUUUAUUGGUUUUUUUUUAGACAAAAUUAGAAUUUAUACCUCGCAAUGUUUGUCCAUUGCAUUUAUUAAAGUCUCAUAGGUGAGUCACUUAAAUGUGACUUUAUGAGCACAGUUUGCAUAAAUUAUAACAAGCAGCAAUUAGUUUGAUGGGCACAGACAGGUCAGCCAUACAGGAACAUGAGGCAACAUGGAAAUCCCUGAUACAAGAGAGUUAAACACCAGGGGGCAGUACCAGGACUGUCCUUGUAAGUGGCCUGCUCAAUGUGUGAUCUGUUUGUAUCACUUCCCUGUUCUUCCACCCAACCACAUUUUCUAAAAGUGUGAGCUCUACACACACAACUGCCCUCCAACGAUGCCCUAGUAGCUCCCCAUCUUUUCUGCUGAUUCACUGCACAUGCUGCUGUCACUUACUGAGCUUACGGACUGACUCAUAAUAUACUGUAUAUACAGAAUACAAAUGUCACAGUUUUAGCCUAAUUAGUAAUUAAUACAGAUAUUUACUACACAGCAUCUUAGAAACUAGUAGGAAAAAUCCCAACUCCAAAAUUUAAAUCUUAUUAAAUCUGCCCACUACUAUCCUUAUAUCUCACCAUAUGAGGUACAUCACUAAGCCCCGAUUAUAUGCGUAUAUACGGAUAUAUUUUUAAAAAUUUUCACAAUCUUUGAAGAUGAUCUGUCUGUAUAAAAGCCUCUCUCUGUCUGGAAGAUCUUAAUUUAUUCUGGAAGCACAAGAGAAUGAUCUACAUCUGAAAGAACAUAAUUGUGCUAGUAACGUUUAGCACUUUCUGGACUAUUUGUUAUAAUUGCAUUCGGCAGCAGGAUUUCUAUGUACUUUCAAGUAGGUCUGGACUAGGAGUCAGAAUAGGUCCUGGCAUUUCAGGUACACAAGCCCAAACAACCCCCACCUGCCCACUAAAUAGCAACUUUCUAUGGAGUUUUACACCUGCUGAGUAUUCCCGGAUCCCAUUAGGAGGAGGCACUGCCAAGAGAGGAACUUCCCAGUACCAUUUCACUUUGCAAAGGGGACUCAGGACCUGAGUUGGUAAGACGGUACAAGCUUGGCACCAGGAGGGUCACCAAGUCAGUGUUGCAGAUCACUGAAUGCCUGUGAGUUAAAUACACUAAAACCACUUUUAAGCGACAUAGUAAUAAAAUAUUUUUCUCUGAAAUUAAUUAUGUGCUUUACUAAGUACAGUUGUCCUAUGAAAUGUCUCACACAUAGUUACUUUAGCAGUCUUUUAAGGGGUGGUCUAAUAAACAUGAACUAUGCAGUUUGUCUCUCAUAAAUAAGAAUAUAGAACAUAUAAAUACACCUUUCCUAUCUAAUCUACACACUAGUAAGGUAACACUUUUCAGACUUUUUAAAACAGCUUAAUCCAGCAGUAAUAUUAAAAUAGUGACACAAGUUCUGUUACUGAACUACAACUCCCAGCAUGCCAUGACAGCCCUGACUGUGACAAAAAAAGCUAUGCUAGAAUAAAUGAAAAGGUUGAGGCAGCACCCACUGAUGGCAUGCCCCCCCCCCCGUGUCACGGCCCUGUCCUUCCACAUCACGGCCCACCCGCUGCCCAGUCUCCACCGGCAGAAAAGGUGGCAACACAUAGACCUGCAUUUAAAAAAAUCUAUUUUUUUUUUUAAAAAUUUGAACUGGCACUUUUUUUGUGAGAUAUAGGAUACAUUUCAAUAAAUUAAAAUAGUAGACUUAAACAUUACCCUUCCUUGACCCAUACAGUGGAACUAAGUUGCCAUCCCCUGUUUGAGACAAUUUAGUGGCUAUAAGCUGUUAGUGUUCCUGAUUUAAUGUGUAAUAUGUCUUUAAUGCUGAAAUUGUCUGUGUUCCCUUUAAGCCUAGGGUAUUUAAAGUGAGAAAUGACAUCACUUCCGGUCUUUAACUACUUGAGAAAGCUUUAGUGUGACGAAACGCAUUGCAGUAUCCAGUCGGGAUCAUUCCUUGGUGUGGACUUUCAUUUGUUAUGCUUUUAAUCAAAAUCACGAAAAAAUUGUGUAAAGUUACAAGUUGUUGGUUCUUCAUGAUCCGCCAGUUUGUGAAAUCGGUGAAGCAGCGGGAGAUCGUGAAAAGAAAUCGGAGGUUGCGUUCCGCUGUGGAGCGCACGAACUGAAACAAACAGUGUGCCAUCUUGGAUCAUCGUGAAAAGGACAUCUGCAGAGAAAUUUGUGAAACAGGCUUAAGGCUGCCGAGAGUUCCAAACCGGCUGUGCCCUUGAGAAAUUCCGGAACUGUGUAUCUGGUGAGAUUAUUCCAACUUCUUUUUGGGGGGCCUGUGCAGCUGGCAAGGAGGAGGGAGUGUGGGACGCCCCAAUAUACCCCUUUGUAUAAUCUGCUCUCUAAAUUCAGCCAUCUACUGGCCAGCCUGUUUGCUAUAUCUAAUUAAAUACUCUGCACACUCCACUGCUUCAAAAUCCCAGCUCCAACUUCUAGGAAAUAACUUUUCUGUCUUGUUGUACUACAACUCACAACCAUCUUGUUUUUAAAUUGGAAGCAUAUACCAACACCAAAGAACAGUCAAUUGAUUUUUCUCCACAGGAAAAGUGAUUGCCCACCUGGAGUGUAUUUAUUACUGAUUUUAGAAUUAUUUAUUCAUAAUUUAUUCACUGUGUUUUCUGGCCGGCCAGUGUUUUUGUUAUUAUAUAAUAAAUUGUACUUUUAAUAUAUUGGUUUUGCAGUCCACCUUCUAUUUAUUUUCGAGAUUUAUAACAUUAACAAAUGUUCUUCACAUCACUCUCACACAUUCCAGUACAGUAACAUUCACACCAAUUACUCGGUGUACCCCUUUACAACCUCCUUUUGUGGGAAGAAUUCCACCCUUUUUUGUUAUUCUCCCUCUCAAGUGGGGAAGGUACAAUAGGACUGCUUCAGAGCACACUGAUUCUAAAAGAAUUAUUUAGUUGGGUCCCUCUUAAGGUUAUGGAGUCUCAGGCCCUGCCCUUGCCCAGCAGACCUUGGAGGAGAGCCUCUCUUGAUUUCAGUAAUCUGGAUGCACAGUUCCCAACUUUCAUGGCAACACCAAACUGGGCCUUGUGGCUUCAAUCCUAGACAAAUACUGUAAUCUCAAAUACUGUUCCUCCUUCCCCCUAAAUAGACCAACAGAUCAUGUAUUUGGACCCUUCAGGUUUCUCAGUGUUACCAUCUCUCUAGAUUUUAGGUGAGAGCUUGAUCCUAGGAAGCCUCUUCCAGACAGAAUUAUGACUGAUCUCAGGGGAUUUUACACAAACUUGUUUCUUGCGCCAAAGAUGAAAUCUUUGCAGUCGACCACAGGCACUUCAAAAAAAAAAAAAAAACAUCAAUGAGACAUGGUUGCAGGGAGCAUGUUCCAG